rnacentral:lncRNA from 1 species
UGUGCCCCUAUAUUGAAAUUAAAAUUUCAAUAUACCUUUUUCUGGAAAAAAAAUCCCAGAAUGUCCUACUUUUUUCUUUGGACUCGCUCAUUCAAUGGACGAGUUGGUGAAGCGUUGGAUUUGUUGGGUAGACUCGGCCAAUGGUUGACCGAGCUGAUGAAUGAGACUUUAUUUUUUAUUUUUUAUUUAUUUUAAAUAUAAUUUUAUAAUUUAAUUACCUUAUUAAAAUUAUUAUUAAAUAAUUUUAUAUUUAAAUAAUAAAAAUGAUUUUUUUU